rnacentral:rRNA from 1 species
AAUAGCGUAUAUKAWAGUUGUUGCAGUUAAAAAGCUCGUAGUUGGACCUUGGGCCUGGACAGGCGGUCCGCCUCACGGCGUGUACUGUCUUGCUGGGCCUUUCCUCUUGGUGAUCUGUGGUUUCGGCCGCAGGGAACCAGGACCUUUACUUUGAAAAAAUUAGAGUGUUCAAAGCAGGCUUUACGCCAGAAUAUAUUAGCAUGGAAUAAUAAAAUAGGACGUGCGGUUCUAUUUUGUUGGUUUUUGGGAUCGCCGUAAUGAUUAAUAGGGACAGUCGGGGGCAUUAGUACUCACAUGCUAGAGGUGAAAUUCUUGGAUUUUGUGAAGACUAACUUCUGCGAAAGCAUUUGCCAAGGAUGUUUUCAUUAAUCAAGAACGAAGGUUAGGGUAUCGAAAACGAUUAGAUACCGUUGUAGUCUUAACAGUAAACUAUGCCGACUAGGGAUCGGUCGAUGUUAUUUUCUUGACUCGAUCGGCACCUUACGAGAAAUCAAAGUUUGUCUGGAGUUCUGGGGGGAGUAUGGUCGCA